ACGCUCGACACCUACGAGAGGCAGCAGUAGGGAAUCUUCCACAAUGGACGCAAGUCUGAUGGAGCAACGCCGCGUGAGUGAAGAAGGUUUUCGGAUCGUAAAGCUCUGUUGUUGGUGAAGAAGGAUAGAGGUAGUAACUGGCCUUUAUUUGACGGUAAUCAACCAGAAAGUCACGGCUAACUACGUGCCUGCAGCCGCGGUAAUCUGAGCGGGCUGGCAAGGC
rnacentral:rRNA from 1 species